AGCCAGGGAGGUGCAGGGCACUCGGGAGCAGGAGGGAGAGAGGAAGAGGCUGAGCGCAGAGCCCACUGAGGGGCCUGGGAACCUCCCUGCCUGCUGGCCGGGCUGCCUCAGCUUCCCCUCACCCUGCAGCCUGCUACCUCUGGAUACAGCUUCCCAGAACAGCUGCUCCUGCAUCUGGGGGACAAAUCUCCUGUAGGAUUUGAGUGAGAUGUCACCAGGCUACUGCAGGCCUGAAGCAAGUCUCUGCCCUGCUACUUUCCUCCCCCAAGGGCAUUCAUUUGUCCUUAUCAGAUGCUGUCAGACUUGCUAAUCAUGGAGUUUCUGGCACCUGACAGGUUCCCAGCCCUAGCCCAGUCUACCCAAGUCAAAGGGAAGUACGGAUUUUCUAUGCACUUGCUGGAGCUCAAGUUCAUGAGAAGGCUCUGGAAUGUAGUUAGGGUCUGAGGCUGGUCCAGCUGGAACAACUCAGAGAGACCCUGACCCUGGAGCCAACAGGCCCUGGGCUACACAAGGGACAGCACUAGUACUAGCCCCAAGACAGCUUUCCAAGAGCAUGGUGCCUCCCAACAAUGCUUCUGUCCCUGGAAGAUUUUAAGCAUCUGUAGAGCAACCAGAAGCACCCAAAAGCAGAGGGCUUCUUGGGUGUCCUGCAACAACCACAGGAUCGACUCCUCUCCCACCCCUUACAUUCCAAUACAAGCAACAAGCAUCA